GGUACCUGAAAAGAAGUUGCCCAUGUUAUUUUUCGCUUUUAUUUGUGACGAAACAAACAUGGUGCACUUCUUUUUCGAUAUC
rfam:Rattus norvegicus chromosome 6, whole genome shotgun sequence.